AAGUCGUAACAAGGUUUCCGUAGGUGAACCUGCGGAAGGAUCAUUAACACUUUUUUUUUCCUCCUUUAUUUGAAGGGAAAAAAAAAUCUAUCCACCCCUAUUUGAACGAACGAUGAUUUAUUAUCCCAAUAUUUCAUUUAUUAUUUUUUCACCCCUUUUACUAUUUACAAAAAUGCCUGAUAUCAAAAAAAGAGUUUUUAUACAAAGCUCUUUUUGUUGAAAUAAGAAUAAUGUUGAAAAACAACUCUUAACAACGGAUAUCUUGGCUCUC
rnacentral:misc_RNA from 1 species